GGUUAAGCGACUAAGCGUACACGGUGGAUGCCCUGGCAGUCAGAGGCGAUGAAGGACGUGCUAAUCUGCGAAAAGCGUCGGUAAGGUGAUAUGAACCGUUAUAGCCGGCGAUGUCCGAAUGGGGAAACCCAGUGCAAUUCGUUGCACUAUCGUUAACUGAAUACAUAGGUUAACGAGGCGAACCGGGGGAACUGAAACAUCUAAGUACCCCGAGGAAAAGAAAUCAACCGAGAUUCCCCCAGUAGCGGCGAGCGAACGGGGAGCAGCCCAG
rnacentral:rRNA from 1 species